UGAUAUUUUCAGUUAUCGUUCGGCUGUCUGUACGUACAUGAUGCAGAGCAUGCCUAAAUAGAAAGGAUGCUACAGGCGUGGAAAAGUUAUCUAAUGAACUACCGUUCCGAUUUAAAGACAAUAUGUUUUAUUUAAUUAAAGCCCAAAUUUUCAUUUAGGUUCGAGUCUCGUCUCGGUAUGGUGUAGUUUGUUUCGUUGUGUAAAUAAUGAUCAUGAAUUCUUUAUCCGAAAAUUAAUUAAAUUUUUUCUGUCCUCACAACGAAAGCAUUAGAAAAAUAAACAUAUUGUCAGUGUUAGGGAUAGUAUUAUGAGAAAAUUGUGCAACAACGUGCAUUCACUGAGCAAUGUUAUUGUUUCCAA